rnacentral:misc_RNA from 1 species
UGUCCGUUGGUGAACCAGCGGAGGGAUCACUAAAGAGUUCUAUAACUCCCAAACCCAUGUGAACAUACCUUACGUUGCCUCGGCAGGUCGCGCCUACCCCGUAACGUCCUACCCUGUAGGACCUAACCGGUAGACGCGGGUAAGCCUGCCGGCGGCCCACGAAACUCUGUUUAAUAUUGAAUUCUGAACCUAAAACUAAAUAAGUUAAAACUUUCAACAACGGAUCUCUUGGUUCUG